UCGGGAAUAUUGCGCAAUGGAGGAAACUCUGACGCAGUGACGCCGCGUGCAGGAAGAAGGUUUUCGGAUUGUAAACUGCUUUAGACAGGGAAGAAUAAAGACAGUACCUGUAGAAUAAGCUCCGGCUAACUACGUGCCAGCAGCCGCGGUAAUACGUAGGGAGCAAGCGUUAUCCGGAUUUAUUGGGUGUAAAGGGUGCGUAGACGGGAAAUUAAGUUAGUUGUGAAAUCCCUCGGCUUAACUGAGGAACUGCAACUAAAACUGGUUUUCUUGAGUGCUGGAGAGGAAAGUGGAAUUCCUAGCGUAGCGGUG
rnacentral:rRNA from 1 species